rnacentral:misc_RNA from 1 species
AAUUAAUUCCCAUAAAGAAUAGUUCAAAGCUACUCUUUUCUUUCAAUAUUGGCCAUAGUACUGAAUCAUCCUAGUAGACCAAAAUUCCCGGAGAAGAAAGAAGCUUGUUUAUGCGAAUAACUUUGCAAUGUCAGAUUCUACUCCUAGCUAAACAUUUCGGUGCAUCUUCAGCCCUAGCUGUAAGUACAAAAGAUCUUAAAAUGCGCUUGCAACAUUUUAAAGCAAGACUAUUUUUUGUUAUGCAAACAGGGAUAUUUACAUAUUCAGUGAACAAAAAUAUUAGCAGAGAAAAAUGAAUGUAAACCACAAAUGACAACAGAAUCUUGAAGUUAAUCACAAGCAUUGCCUUGGUUAAAAGUUAAAAUGGCUUUUUUUUUUUUUUUUAAAGUCUGAGAACCUAAUAUAUGCCUAGACAACAAUUCAGAAAAGAACAUCAAAAUUCGCAAACCAAGCAUCAAAAUAUUCAGUGUCAUGUUGAACCGAACAUUGUCUUUAUCCUUGUGUAUUCUAAGAAAAAGGAUCAUGAUUGAUCAAAUGACUCUUAGAAGUAACAAAGAAUCACUUGCACCUAUUCAAUCUAUGAAUUAACAAUAUAAAGAUUUAAGUGGAAAAGCAUCAAGCCAUCAACACAAAGCAUUCAACCUUAUUAGGAAUUUGACUUGACAAAUCUUAAUUGACUGGAGAAUAGGAUUUCCAGAACAAGGAAGCAAGCAGUGCCUCCAAUCAGAAAUCAUGUAUUAAAUUAAGUUUUGAAACAAACAAGAAGCUUGCUACUCUGCCCCCCAACGAUGUAGGGAAGCCUGCCAAAAAUAGCAAGUUAUCAACAUAUUAGAUGCUUCUCAAACAAAAAAAGCAAAAUCAUCCAAAGCUCCAAACCAUCUUACAACAACAACAACAAAUAAGCCUUGAUUCCAAAUUAGUUGGGGUUGGCAACAUGGUUCCUUUUUCACCAAGCUAAAAUGAAAACAAUUAAAUUGUCUAUCACCUGUCUUUGUGUCAAUGUUUUACAUCUUAAAAUUACCACUGAAAGUAAAACGGACUAAACCAUGCCCCUGCAUCAUAACCCAAAGAGCAAUAGUGCAAUACUAAAUGAUUACAUGAGAAUUUUGAUAUCAAUUUGUCACUUUUCUUCCUUCUAUUUGGAUUACCUCCUCUGCAUUUUUACAGAACUUGCUGAUAAUACCUCAAAUUGAGACCUCAGCAAUGUGGGAGUAGCACUUCAAACGUUCCAGAAAAACCUCAAAUAUCUGAUGAUCCAUAAUAGUAUUUACCUCUUCACCGGAGGAUCGGCAACUCUAUAAGAAUCAGCUGUAGUUCCCACCAACCACAACCCAGGAAAAACAUUAUCAAGCAAUUUCUGCACGUUCUUGGGUCGUUUCCUGGGCCUCCUGGCAGGUCUCGACCCAGUCAAAGCGAAAAUAUCCUCUUCAAUCUCUUCUCUCGACAGAGCUAUCCAAAACUUCCUCUUCUCCUUCUUUUCCAAGCAAACCCCCCCGCCUCCUCCUGUAGACUCUACCAAUCCCCUCAAUCUCAUCGAUUUCGGCUGAAGCUGCGGCGUAUUCUCCCUCUCCCUCUGCUCAUUUACAUGCAUCAUCACCGCUUCUUUCAAUUCCCCUCCAUUCUUAGCUGCCAAAAUCCCUUUUCUUGGCCUCAAUUUCCACGGCCUCGAAUUGCCUUCUUCCUCUUCUUGCUUUUGUUUCUCCUCCUCCUCCUCUUCCUCUUCUUCAGCGUCAGCUCCGUUGUUGUUUUCCAAAACGGUGAAUUGCGUCUGCGGCUUUUCAGCGACUUCCGCUCCCAAAACCGUUAUUUGUUUCUGCGGAUUUUCCGUGGAUGAAUUUUUUGGUUUUGGCAAGAGAGAGGAGCAAGACGUAAAGGAGAAGCGAUGGACACGAGCAGAGCGGGAUCCGACCCGGGGAGGAUGCCGGAUUGUUGUUUGUUCCGGGUCAGAUUCAGUCUCAGGGUCAGGUGCAAGUGCGGACGUGGGACGGCUGCUAUUAGUACUUCGAUGGUGGUGGUGGUUACUGGGGGCAGAGAGUGCGGUGGUCUGGCCCCAUUUGAGGGAGAGCGGGAAGUUAUGCAGCGGCUGUGGCUUCACUGGUGCUGCUGCCAUGAAAGCCAGCACUUACAUAUACAAAGAUAUCUAUAUAUGGAAGUGCGUGCCUGUGCCUUUGCUUUUACGUGGAACUUAAAGAUGGUAACGAGAGCCCAAAUAAAAAAAAAAACCCUAGAGACAGAGAGAGAGAGAGAGA